rnacentral:tRNA from 2 species
GGGCGGUUAGCUCAGUGGUAGAGCGUCUGCCUUACAAGCAGGGGGCCACUGGUUCAAAUCCAGUACUGCCCA